AGCGUAUAUUAAAGUUGUUGCAGUUAAAAAGCUCGUAGUUGAAUUUCGGGAUCAAUACGUCGGUCGUGCUUUCGGGUACGUACUGGCGUCAUUGGUUUCUCCUUUCUGACGAACCAUGAUGUCAUUAAUUUGGUGUUAUGGGGAGUUAGGACUGUUACUUUGAAAAAAUUAGAGUGUUUAAAGCAGGCAUUAGCUUGAAUACAUUAGCAUGGAAUAAUGAAAUAGGACGUUCGAUCCUAUUUUGUUGGUUUCUAGGAUCAACGUAAUGAUUAAUAGGGAUAGUUGGGGGCAUUAGUAUUCAAUUGUCAGAGGUGAAAUUCUUGGAUUUAUUGAAGACUAACUACUGCGAAAGCAUUUGCCAAGGAUGUUUUCAUUAAUCAAGAACGAAAGUUAGGGGAUCGAAGACGAUCAGAUACCGUCGUAGUCUUAACCAUAAACUAUGCCGACUAGGGAUCGGAUGAUGUUAAUUUUUUAAUGACUCAUUC
rnacentral:rRNA from 1 species